rnacentral:lncRNA from 1 species
GAGUGAAAUAUUGGUCCCAUUGAAAUCAAUGGCAAAACUCCUCUUGACUUCAAUGCAGCCAGGAUUUCAUCUCUAGACUUGUAAGGUUGGGACAAUUCUGAAUUAGGGACAGAGGCCUUUAUGUUUUUUCUCUCUCACGCACAAUAUCUCAGAGCAAACAUUUUAUUUUCUUCUUUUUCAGCCUAUCGUAAAGCCAACCAUUCCACCACCUCCAGUUCCUACUGCCAAACCAAGUUUUUCUCCAGGCAUGGGCAAUUCUGUAGCACAGACGAAGUCCACUCCUUCACCAGUCCCUAAGGGCAAACCUGCACCCCCACCACAGGUAAGUCAAGUGCACCAUACACAUGAUAUUCCAAGUAUGACUGAAGGCAAAAUAGAGAUCAAGAUAAAUCUUAACACAGUGCUGCCAAUUCAGGAUUUCACUGUGAGCUGCAGGAUUCCUGGUAUUUUUUUCCACAAGGCCCAUCCUCCUGGAGUCAUGUUACAACAAACUCAAAAACAGUAAGUUUUUAGCACUCAUGGCUGUGGAGAAGUGAUAUAAAACAUGACUCCUUAAAGGCUCAAAAAUUUGAAGACAAAGAGAAUCCAGUCUGCUUACUUUGGGGGGAGAAAUGGGGGAGCAGCGCAGAACCAAGAUUUUUGGACACACAGAGCUGUCAAUACUGUUAUCAGCACAGUCCAGUAGUUGGUAUUUAAAAUGCUUUUACUUUCUAAUUUUCUUCUCCUGUUUGCAUUACAGUGAAAGGUUUGAAUCCUGUGAUAAAAGUACAGAAUCUUAGCAGCACUACUCUGCACGCGAUCUAGGCUC